rnacentral:rRNA from 1 species
AACGAACGCUGGCGGCAGGCUUAACACAUGCAAGUCGAACGAGCUGGGACCUUCGGGUCCCGAUGCUAGUGGCGCACGGGUGAGUAACGCGUGGGAACGUACCCUUUAGUACGGAAUAACCCAGGGAAACUUGGGCUAAUACCGUAUGACUCCUUCGGGAGAAAGAUUUAUCGCUAAAGGAUCGGCCCGCGUCUGAUUAGGUAGUUGGUGAGGUAAUGGCUCACCAAGCCUACGAUCAGUAGCUGGUCUGAGAGGAUGAUCAGCCACACU